rnacentral:rRNA from 1 species
UAAUACGGAGGGUGCAAGCGUUAAUCGGAAUUACUGGGCGUAAAGCGCGCGUAGGCGGUUAGAUCAGUCGGGUGUGAAAGCCCUGGGCUUAACCUGGGAACUGCAUUCGAUACUGUCUAGCUAGAGUAUGGUAGAGGGAAGUGGAAUUCCGGGUGUAGCGGUGAAAUGCGUAGACAUCCGGAGGAACACCAGUGGCGAAGGCGACUUCCUGGACCAAUACUGACGCUGAGGCGCGAAAGCGUGGGGAGCAAACAGGAUUAGAUACCCUGGUAGUCCACGCCCUAAACGAUGUCAACUAGCCGUUGGGGGAAUUAAAUCCUUUAGUGGCGCAGCUAACGCGAUAAGUUGACCGCCUGGGGAGUACGGCCGCAAGGCUA